rnacentral:rRNA from 1 species
UGGGGAAUAUUGCACAAUGGGGGAAACCCUGAUGCAGCGACGCCGCGUGGAGGAAGAAGGUCUUCGGAUUGUAAACUCCUGUUGUUGAGGAAGAUAAUGACGGUACUCAACAAGGAAGUGACGGCUAACUACGUGCCAGCAGCCGCGGUAAAACGUAGGUCACAAGCGUUGUCCGGAAUUACUGGGUGUAAAGGGAGCGCAGGCGGGAAGACAAGUUGGAAGUGAAAUCCAUGGGCUCAACCCAUGAACUGCUUUCAAAACUGUUUUUCUUGAGUAGUGCAGAGGUAGGCGGAAUUCCCGGUGUAGCGGUGGAAUGCGUAGAUAUCGGGAGGAACACCAGUGGCGAAGGCGGCCUACUGGGCACCAACUGACGCUGAGGCUCGAAAGUGUGGGUAGCAAACAGGAUUAGAUACCCUGGUAGUCCACACUGUAAACGAUGAUUACUAGGUGUUGGAGGAUUGACCCCUUCAGUGCCGCAGUUAACACAAUAAGUAAUCCACCUGGGGAGUACGACCGCAAGGUUGAAACUCAAAGGAAUUGACGGGGGCCCGCACAAGCAGUGGAGUAUGUGGUUUAAUUCGACGCAACGCGAAGAACCUUACCAAGUCUUGACAUCCCUUGACGAUGCUGGAAACAGUAUUUCUCUUCGGAGCAAGGAGACAGGUGGUGCAUGGUUGUCGUCAGCUCGUGUCGUGAGAUGUUGGGUUAAGUCCCGCAACGAGCGCAACCCUUAUGGUCAGUUACUACGCAAGAGGACUCUGGUCAGACUGCCGUUGACAAAACGGAGGAAGGUGGGGAUGACGUCAAAUCAUCAUGCCCUUUAUGACUUGGGCUACACACGUACUACAAUGGCGUUAAACAAAGAGAAGCAAGACCGCGAGGUGGAGCAAAACUCAGAAACAACGUCCCAGUUCGGACUGCAGGCUGCAACUCGCCUGCACGAAGUCGGAAUUGCUAGUAAUCGCAGAUCAGCAUGCUGCGGUGAAUACGUUCCC